UCCGUUGCUUGGAUCAGUCUAGGUAUAGCUGCCCGAUCCUUCAGCGUCCGCAUCUCGGCGUCGCCCCGCGUACCGUCGCCCGGCUCUCCGCUGCUCUCCCGGGGGUUCGGGGGCACUUGGGUCCCACAGUCUGGUCCUGCUGCACCUUCCCCUGACCUGAGUAGUCGCCAUGGCACAGGUUCUCAGAGGCACUGUGACUGACUUCCCUGGAUUUGAUGAGCGGGCUGAUGCAGAAACUCUUCGGAAGGCCAUGAAAGGCUUGGGAUCUUCUGGAUGACCUGAAAUCAGAACUAACUGGAAAAUUUGAAAAAUUAAUUGUGGCUCUGAUGAAACCCUCUCGGCUUUAUGAUGCUUAUGAACUGAAACAUGCCUUGAAGGGAGCUGGAACAAAUGAAAAAGUACUGACAGAAAUUAUUGCUUCAAGGACACCUGAAGAACUGAGAGCCAUCAAACAAGUUUAUGAAGAAGGUAAACGUUUGUGAGUUAUAUUUUGACUUCACCUCUACUAUCACUUCCUUCAUUUAUGUGAUUUGAAUGCAGUCCUUUGUAGGUAUGGGAGGCACGCAGUAAAUGAUGGUUGAAU
rnacentral:sRNA from 1 species